CUUUUUUUUCACGUCUAUUUUGCAGAUCUAUAACCGCUGUAUUUGAAGGCGACUAUAUCUUCUCCUAUUUUUCAGGUCGGUUUUUGUAAUAUUUUACUGGAAAUUUUAGAAAAAAAUGUAGAAGAUUUCCAGAAAAUCUUCUUCGAAGUCUUCCAGUAUUUGAAUUUAGAAUAAUACAUUUAUUUUGUGUUUGAGAUGCUUGUUUUUGAUUGUUUUGCAAACAAAAAAUUGUUAUUCCAGAACUCACCCCCGAAGAUACAUACACUAGGAGAAGAGCCCCCUGCAGUCAAGAGCAUUUUGUAUCAUACAUCAUGUCUCGCCGGAGGAUUCCAUGCCUAGAUUCAUAUCUGGACAAGAUGCAUGGGAGAUCAUACAUAUACCUGAUAAGAAGACAACGCAAUGGAGAAGCAAGUGGUUUCCGCAGAGGUUGAGCUUUGCCCGCCCGGUCACGAUUGCUUCAACAUCUUAAACUUUAGAUUCAUAGAUUAUAUCAUAAGCUUUGGAGGUCCAUCAGCAUGUAUUGAAGGCUUGAAAAACACAAUGAUUAAACCAUCAACGCUUCUCUAGUUUGGAGGUCUCGGUAACGUACAAAACACUCGUAUACACAUAUUUAUUUUGAUUCCUUACUUUCUCUAGAGGAUAUAUAACAUUUCAAACUGAUAGUUUUAGAGUUUUUGAUACAAAUUGUUUUGAAAAACCAUAACAACGAGUUAUAUAUAUAUAUAUAUAUAUAUAACAGAUAAACAAAGGCACAACUUCGAUAAGGCGGAC